GCGCUCACUUUGGCAGCACAUACACUAAAAUUGGAACGGCACAGAGAAGGUUAGCAUGGUCCCUGCGCCAGGGUGACCUGCGAAUUCAUUCUUUCCAUGUUA